rnacentral:misc_RNA from 1 species
GAAAUGCGAUAAGUAAUGUGAAUUGCAGAAUUCAGUGAAUCAUCGAAUCUUUGAACGCACAUUGCGCCCGCCAGUAUUCUGGCGGGCAUGCCUGUUCGAGCGUCAUUUCAACCAUCAAGCCCCGCGCUUUUGUUGGGGACCUGCGGCUGCCGCAGGCCCUGAAAACCAGUGGCGGGCUCGCUGUCACACCGGGCGUAGUAGAUUUUAUCUCGCUCAGGGCGUGCUGCGGGUUCCGGCCGUUAAAAAGCCUUUUUUACCCAAGGUUGACCUCGGAUCAGGUAGGAAGACCCGCUGAACUUAAGC